rnacentral:rRNA from 1 species
GGUAAAUCUCAUCUAAAGCUAAAUAUUUGGUAAGAGACCGAUAGAAAACAAGUACCGUGAGGAAGAUGAAAAGAACUUUGAAAAGAGAGUUAAAAGUACUUGAAAUUGUUAACUGGGAACCGCUUAAAUUCUAAUCUCUUAAUUCUAUUAAAUCAUCUUCUUUAAAGGUGUAUCACAUUAAAUAGAUGUAACUCAGUUACUCUAUGAGUGGGUGAAGUCAGAGAGGAAGUGCACUUUAGUAGAAUUAUAAUCAACAUGAAUUUUAAGAAACUUAGAAAAAUAGAAGAAAGGUAGUAGUCUUAUCUUCGGGUAUUACUAUGUUAUAAUCUUUUAUUGAAUGAGUUACUUAAGAUUGAGGAAUCAAUGUACUCCUCUAUGGAUUGUGAUAUUAAGUUCAUGGAAGGGAUAAGGUAGC